UAAUAAGUACACAGUAUACCAACUAGUGAUUCACAUAACAACGUCAAGUACAUAGUAUACCAACUAGUGAUUCACAUAACAAGUACACAGUAUACCAACUAGUGAUUCACAUAACAACGUCAAGUACAUAGUAUACCAACUAGUGAUUCACAUAACAGGUACACAGUAUACCAACUAGUGAUUCACAUAACAACGUCAAGUACACAGUAUACCAACUAGUGAUUCACAUAAGUACAUAAUAUACCAACUAGUGAUUCACAUAACAAGUACACUGUAUACCAACUAGUGAUUCACAUAACAAGUACACAGUAUACCAACUAGUGAUUCACAUAACAACGUCAAGUACACAGUAUACCAACUAGUGAUUCACAUAACAAGUACACAGUAUACCAACUAGUGAUUCACAUAACAAGUACACAGUAUACCAACUAGUGAUUCAUAUAAGUACACAGUAUACCAACUAGUGAUUCACAUAACAAGUACAUAGUAUACCAACUAGUGAUUCACAUAACAAGUACACAGUAUACCAACUAGUGAUUCACAUAACAAGUACAUAAUAUACCAACUAGUGAUUCACAUAACAAGUA